rnacentral:rRNA from 1 species
AGUGAACGCUGGCGGUAGGCCUAACACAUGCAAGUCGAACGGCAGCACAGGAGAGCUUGCUCUCUGGGUGGCGAGUGGCGGACGGGUGAGGAAUACAUCGGAAUCUACUUUUUCGUGGGGGAUAACGCAGGGAAACUUACGCUAAUACCGCAUACGACCUAAGUGUGAAAGCAGGGGAUCUUCGGACCUUGCGCGAUUGAAUGAGCCGAUGUCGGAUUAGCUAGUUGGCGGGGUAAAGGCCCACCAAGGCGACGAUCCGUAGCUGGUCUGAGAGGAUGAUCAGCCACACUGGAACUGAGACGCGGUCCAGACUCCUACGGGAGGCAGCAGUGGGGAAUAUUGGACAAUGGGCGCAAGCCUGAUCCAGCCAUACCGCGUGGGUGAAGAAGGCCUUCGGGUUGUAAAGCCCUUUUGUUGGGAAAGAAAUCCAGCUGGUUAAUACCCGGUUGGGAUGACGGUACCCAAAGAAUAAGCACCGGCUAACUUCGUGCCAGCCGCCGCCGUAA